UACGUAGGGUGCAAGCGUUGUCCGGAAUUAUUGGGCGUAAAGAGCUCGUAGGCGGUUUGUUGCGUCGGCUGUGAAAUCCCGAGGCUCAACCUCGGGUCUGCAGUCGAUACGAGCAAACUAGAGUGUUGCAGGGGAGACUGGAAUUCCUGGUGUAGCGGUGAAAUUCGAUAGAUAUCGGGAGGAACACCGGUGGCGAAGGCGGCGAUCUGGGUCGAUACUGACGCGUGAGGUGCGAAAGCGUUGGGGAGCAAACAGG
rnacentral:rRNA from 1 species